UCAAAACUGCUCCAAAAUGCACCAAAAUGCACUUUCUUGCUACCUUAGCCCUUUGGACCUACAAACACACAAAAAUGGCUUAAAGUACUAAAAUAACUAAGAACUAAUAACGUAAAUGCAAGAAAACUAGUUAACUAAGUCGCAUAAAUAUGCGUCUAUCACAACGCUGACCGGAAGUCAACAGGUCAGUCAAUGGGUCACAGUCAACAGGUCAGUGGGUCGGUUCGAAUCUGAGUUAUUAGGUCGGGCUGGUUAUUGGGUUCAGACUUGGGUUGCAUCCGUUUAGGGUUGAGGAUUUUGGACUUGGGUUAAGGUUAUUUGGCUAAAGAGUUAUAGUUAAUGGGU
rnacentral:lncRNA from 1 species